rnacentral:rRNA from 1 species
AUUGCACGCUGGCGGCAGGCCUAACACAUGCAAGUCGAGCGGAGCGGCGGACGGGUGAGUAAUGCAUAUGAAUCUGCCUGGUAGUGGGGGUUAACGUCCGGAAACGGGCGCUAAUUCAGCCUACUAUCAGAUGAGCCUACGUCGGAUUAGCUAGGAGGUGGGGUAAAGGCCUACCAAGGCGACGAUCCGUAACUGGUCUGAGAGGAUGAGCAGUCACACUGGAAAUGAGAAACGGUCCAGACUCCUACGGGAGGCAGCAGUGGGGAAUAUGGGAAAAUGGGCGAAAGCCUGAUCAAGCCAUGCCGCGCGUGUGAAGAAGGUCUUCGGAUUGUAAAGCACUUUAAGUUGGGAGGCGUUACCAACAGAAGAAGCACCGGCUAAAUUCGUGCCAGCAGCCGCGGUAAUAC